UACGUAGGGUGCAAGCGUUGUCCGGAAUUAUUGGGCGUAAAGAGCUCGUAGGCGGUUUGUCGCGUCGAAUGUGAAAACCCGGGGCUCAACCCCGGGCCUGCAUUCGAUACGGGCAGACUAGAGUUCGGUAGGGGAGUCUGGAAUUCCUGGUGUAGCGGUGAAAUGCGCAGAUAUCUGGAGGAACACCGGUGGCGAAGGCGGCAUCCUGGACCGACACUGACGCUGAGGAGCGAAAGCCAGGGGAGCAAACGGG
rnacentral:rRNA from 1 species